rnacentral:tRNA from 1 species
AGGGUAAUAAUUUAGUGGUAGAGCGCAUGCUUAGCACGCAUGAGGUCCUGGGUUCAAUCCCUAGUACCUCCA